rnacentral:lncRNA from 1 species
AUUGAUGCAUGCGUCUGAUCUGAUGCAGCAGUACGUCCCCUCACCGCGCGCGCAAUCGUGAACUAACUCGGCCGAUUCGAUCGAUGAGUACAAGUACAGACGGCAGGGUCGCGGUGGCGAAUUAUAGGCCGAGCGCGCCGAGCGGCGUCUUGCCCUGUCCGGCCUCGAAGUAGAAGGUGAGCAUGGCGAGCAUGGCGAUGCGGGCGUGCUUGAUCUCGGCCAGCUUGAGCCGCUCGAGCUUCUCGGUGUCGGGGAUGUAGACGCCGUCCUUGACGGUGCCGGCGAGGCCGAGCGGGUCGAAGAACUUGCCGCCGGGGUAUCCCUGGUCGCCGGUGAAGUUGGCGAAGUUCUCGGCGGUGCGGGACCAUGGGGUGGCCCACUCGACGGACUGCGAGUCCGGGUUGAAAAAGUCGACCCACCGCUUGGAUUCGACCCACCCCAUGAG